rnacentral:rRNA from 1 species
AGUGAACGCUGGCGGCGUGCUUAACACAUGCAAGUCGAACGAGAACGGAUUAUAGCUUGCUAUAAUUGUCAGCUAAGUGGCGCACGGGUGAGUAAUAUAUAGAUAACCUGCCCUCUAGAAAGGAAUAACAGUUGGAAACGACUGCUAAUGCCCUAUAUGCCUUUAAUACAUAAGUAUGCAAGGGAAACGCUUUAGUGCUAGAGGAUGGGUCUGUAUGGUAUCAGCUUGUUGGUGAGGUAAUGGCUCACCAAGGCUAUGACGCCUAACUGGUUUGAGAGGAUGAUCGGUCACACUGGAACUGAGACACGGUCCAGACUCCUACGGGAGGCAGCAGUGGGGAAUAUUGCACAAUGGACGAAAGUCUGAUGCAGCAACGCCGCGUGGAGGAUGACACAUUUCGGUGCGUAAACUCCUUUUAUAUAGGAAGAUAAUGACGGUACUAUAUGAAUAAGCACCGGCUAACUCCGUG